rnacentral:ncRNA from 2 species
CGUCCUGUUGCGGGAGAGCCCCGAUCGCCAUCGGGCACCGAAGGAGCAAGCCUCCCCGCCAAUCUCUCAGGUACGCGUACCGCGCAGGUCGG